GCGCCGGUGGUGCAAGGCGUAGCAUCGCUGUCCGAAAAGCAGAAGGUGCGGGUUCAAAUCCCGCCUGGCGCA
rnacentral:tRNA from 1 species